UUGAUCUGGUCAGGACGAACGCUGGCGGCGUGCCUAACACAUGCAAGUCGAACGAGUAUAAAGGAAGCUUGCGAAUUUAUACUUAGUGGCGGACGGGUGAGUAACGCGUGGAUAACCUGCCUGAUAGCCUGGGAUAACAGCUGGAAACGGCUGCUAAUACCGGAUACGCUCAAUAGAUCGCAUGGUCAGUUGAGGAAAGCAUUUGUGCUAUCAGAUGGAUCCGCGUCCCAUUAGCUAGUUGGUGGUGUAGAGGACCACCAAGGCGACGAUGGGUAGCCGGCCUGAGAGGGCGAACGGCCACACUGGGACUGAGACACGGCCCAGACUCCUACGGGAGGCAGCAGUGGGGAAUCUUCCGCAAUGGGCGAAAGCCCUGACGGAGCAACGCCGCGUGAGGGAAGAAGGCCUUCGGGUUGUAAACCUCUGUUUUCAGGGAAGAAGAAAGUGACGGUACCUGAAGAGUAAGCUCCGGCUAACUACGUGCCAGCCGCUGC
rnacentral:rRNA from 1 species